rnacentral:rRNA from 1 species
UUGAACGCUGGCGGCAUGCCUUACACAUGCAAGUCGAACGGCAGCACGGGGGCAACCCUGGUGGCGAGUGGCGAACGGGUGAGUAAUACAUCGGAACGUGCCCUGAAGUGGGGGAUAACGUAGCGAAAGUUACGCUAAUACCGCAUAUUCUGUGAGCAGGAAAGCAGGGGAUCGCAAGACCUUGCGCUUUAGGAGCGGCCGAUGUCGGAUUAGCUAGUUGGUGGGGUAAAGGCUCACCAAGGCGACGAUCCGUAGCGGGUCUGAGAGGAUGAUCCGCCACACUGGGACUGAGACACGGCCCAGACUCCUACGGGAGGCAGCAGUGGGGAAUUUUGGACAAUGGGCGAAAGCCUGAUCCAGCCAUGCCGCGUGAGUGAAGAAGGCCUUCGGGUUGUAAAGCUCUUUCAGCCGGAAAGAAAUCGCGCAGGCUAAUACUCUGCGUGGAUGACGGUACCGGAAGAAGAAGCACCGGCUAACUACGU